GUGGAGCAAUCCAUGAGUAAAGUGGCGCACGGGUGAGUAACACGUGACUAACCUACCCUUGAGUGGGGAAUAACUUCGGGAAACCGAGGCUAAUACCGCAUAACACCUACGGGUCAAAGGAGCAAUUCGCUUAAGGAGGGGGUCGCGGCAGAUUAGUUAGUUGGCGGGGUAAUGGCCCACCAAGACGGUGAUCUGUAUCCGGCCUGAGAGGGCGCACGGACACACUGGAACUGAAACACGGUCCAGACUCCUACGGGAGGCAGCAGUGGGGAAUUUUGCGCAAUGGGGGAAACCCUGACGCAGCAACGCCGCGUGGAGGAUGAAGUCCCUUGGGACGUAAACUCCUUUCGAUCGGGACGAUUAUGACGGUACCGGAAGAAGAAGCCCCGGCUAACUUCGUGCCAGCAGCCGCGGUAAUACGAGGGGGGCGAGCGUUGUUCGGAAUUAUUGGGCGUAAAGGGCGCGUAGGCGGUUGGAUAAGUCUCGUGUGAAAUCUUCGGGCUCAACUCGAAGUCUGCACGAGAAACUAUCCGGCUAGAGUGUGGGAGAGGUGAGUGGAAUUCCUGGUGUAGCGGUGAAAUGCGUAGAUAUCAGGAGGAACACCUGUGGCGAAAGCGGCUCACUGGACCACAACUGACGCUGAGGCGCGAAAGCUAGGGGAGCAAACAGGAUUAGAUACCCUGGUAGUCCUAGCCCUAAACGAUGAUCGCUUGGUGUGACGGGUACCCAAUCCC
rnacentral:rRNA from 1 species